rnacentral:rRNA from 1 species
CUACGGGUCGCAGCAGUGGGGAAUUUUGCGCAAUGGGCGAAAGCCUGACGCAGCAACGCCGCGUGCGGGAUGAAGGCCUUCGGGUCGUAAACCGCUUUCAGCAGGGAAGAAGUUGACUGUACCUGCAGAAGAAGCUCCGGCUAACUACGUGCCAGCAGCCGCGGUAAUACGUAGGGAGCGAGCGUUAUCCGGAUUUAUUGGGCGUAAAGCGCGCGUAGGCGGCUUGCCAAGCGGGAUCUCAAAACCGAGGGCUCAACCCCCGGACGGAUCCCGAACUGGCAGGCUCGAGUUCGGUAGGGGAAGAUGGAAUUCCCAGUGUAGCGGUGAAAUGCGCAGAUAUUGGGAAGAACACCGAUGGCGAAGGCAGUCUUCUGGGCCGCAACUGACGCUGAGGUGCGAAAGCUAGGGGAGCGAACAGGAUUAGAUACCCCUGUAGUC